rnacentral:rRNA from 1 species
AUUGAACGCUGGCGGCAAGCCUAACACAUGCAAGUCGAACGGAGUGGCGGACGGGUGAGUAAUGCCUGGGAAUCUGCCUGGUAGUGGGGGAUAACUUCCGGAAACGGGCGCUAAUACCGCAUACUAUCAGAUGAGCCUAGAUGGGAUUAGCUAGUUGGUGGGGUAAAGGCCUACCAAGGCGACGAUCCGUAACUGGUCUGAGAGGAUGAUCAGUCACACUGGAACUGGGACACGGUCCAGAAUCCUACGGGAGGAAGCAGUGGGGAAUAUUGGACAAUGGGCGAAAGCCUGAUCCAGCCAUGCCGCGGGUGUGAAGAAGGCCUUCGGGUUGUAAAGCACUUUCAGUUGGGAGGCGUUACCAACAGAAUAAGCACCGGCUAACUCCGUGCCAGCAGCCGCGGUAAUAC